ACUUAAGGCCACACUACCCUGAACCUGCCCGAUCUCAUUUGAUCUCAGAAGCUGAGCAGGGUCGGGCCUGGUUAGUACUUGGAUGAGAGACCAACUGGGAAUACCAGGUGCUGUAAGCC
rnacentral:rRNA from 1 species